AUGUACCGCUCGUACACUCCAGGCCUGAGCACGCCGUCCGCACCACCUGACGACCGCUGGCCACGUUUUCUUAGCC
rnacentral:sRNA from 2 species